CCCCCUCCCUUCGCCUUCGCUCCGUAGCCGAGGUGGGCGAUCGCGAGUGGCAGCAGCGGGUCGGGGGCCGCCGCUUUCUCGGGUGUCGCCUGCUGGGGGUCAAGCAAGCGCCAGGCGGCUCGUCGCGAGCAACGCGGAGAUCUCGCCGCCGUCGGAGAGCUCUGCGCUUGUGCGGCGGCGGCGGCGACGACGGCAGCAGCGGCGGCGACAGCUCAGUGUCCUUUUCGCUCUGCUUCGGCUGCCUACGAAAGGGACGUCAUGCCGAAGAGAAAGUCUCCAGAGGGUGCUGAAGGCAAGGAUGCUGCCAAGCUAACAAAACAAGAGCCAACAAGGCGAUCUGCAAGAUUGUCAGCUAAACCAGCUCCGCCAAAACCAGAGCCUAAGCCAAGGAAAGCCACUAAGAAGGAACCUGGAACAAAGACUAGCAAAGGUGCUAAGGGGAAGAAGGAAGAAAAGCAGGAAGCUGCAAAGGAAGGUACUACACCAUCUGAAAAUGGUGAAAAUAAAGCUGAAGAGAUUCGCAUCCCUCGCUCCACUGUUAGUGUUUCAACAUCCAGAGGUGCCCCACCCAGCACACUGUCAGUAAAAGGGCAGAUUGAAACAGUGAAAGUUAAGGGUACGAUAGAGCAUUCUGCAUGUGUGCAGUGAAUAGAAAGAUAGUAGUGUGGUGCUUUUCAUUAUGAACAAUGGAAGCUGGCAGGCACAGAGAACUGAACCUGUAGAAGACAAGUGCGUGUGAACAGACAUGAACAUUUGAGGAUGAUUUUAUGCACCUCUUGGACAACUUUUAAAAGAUAUUUUUAUUAAGUAUUUUAUAAAUGCUAAUUUCUUAGGACUUAUGAUAAGUUGACAAACUGUAUAUGAACAUUUUCCCUCCCAUAUGCGUGCUUUUAGAAAUCCCCAAUGUUGCCAAGAUUUUUAAAAGUAUCAACUUAACAUUGGAAAAAAGUGUUUAUAAGAUUGGACAGCCAUUCUAUAUACUUGCUUUUCGGAAACGUAUGUCUUGUGCAUAUGGUGACGUUUUUACCGUGGGUGUUUGGAUUUUUCUUGCUGUUUUUCUAGAGCAAUAAUCUGUGGUGCUUUUGUACUUAAGGUUGAUGCAAUUUUAAUGAAACAUGUAUAGAUAUGGCCACCUGAUGAUCAUGUUGAGUUAUUUGUCAUUGGUUUAUAACAAAAAGUCUCCUUGCCAGCAAAUAUUGUUUCCCAAUAUUUUCUCUAAAUCUGAGAAAUGCCUUAUAAAUACUUCGCUCUUGUUAGGAAGAUACUAAGCACACUUAUUUAAUAGCUAUUUCAAUGAUUUCAGGAUCAAUGUUAAAGGUUGUGGAAGGUCAGACUUAUAUUGCAAACUAAAUAAACUUACUUGGUAAUAAGAUCGGUUUUGUAGGAUUGAUGUACAGAGGACAUAAAUGCAGAUAUUCCAACUAAGUGGGAUGUAGGUAAAUGCAUACAUAAGUGCUCAUUGUGCAGCACUUAUGAUGCAUUCACACCAGUUUUCUACAUGUGCACUUGUGAUGCAUCAAACCAGACACAAUCAACCAACAUAUACUGUGGCUUGUCAGGUACUGCAAAAGUCCUAAAGCCUCAGAACCAAUCAGACUGAGGCAGUCAAGCAAAAAUAGGAAGUUUCAUGAGGCCCUGCUAGACUACGUAUUACCGAUGGGCUGCACUGACUCUCUGUGAAGGUCUGGAAUAGAAGAACAAAAGGCCCAUGCUAUACCAAGUGACUUUUUCUGCAUUCUUUUUCACGAUAUCAACUUAUAUUGACUUUAUAGUACUGUAAAAGCACAAUGCAAAUUGAUUUAUAUCUUGAUUGAGAGAUACAGAGGAACAGCUUUGAUUUCAUUCCUCUGUAUUUUACCCCCCCCCCCCUUUUGUUUCACCAGAGGUGAUUUGUGUGUAAACAUUUAAGACUACAGAAUCAGUCCUCUUGUCAGCUCAAUUCUUAAUCUAAAUUGGUGAUUUCUGUUUUAUUGAAUGAUUGGUGAUUAAUGUAUCAAAGCUACAGCUGAAACAACACUGUGUGUGGUACCUGGUAGAGAUAAUGUAGAUGAAAUAUAUUUUGAAAAGUCUGUGGUUGUGCUGAUGGUGUUCAAUUAGAUGGAUAAUUUUAAUACCUAUGUUAACACUGCUUCAGCCCAUUAUAAGCACCUAGUGAUUUCCAAUCUGUUUUCUCAUUUUUGCCUGGGACUUACAUAUUUCUGUUGGGGGGAGGAAGCAAAGAUAAAGGAACAUAUUUCUUGUCCUUUGGUAACAUUUUUAUUGCUAUGCUGGUGGCCCUUAUGUUUGGGGAUAUAUGCAUGUUUCAGUCAAUAAAUGGAAGUAAUUAUCACCUAA